CAAAUUCUUAGCUAUAUAAAACUACAAAACAGUGGUCAAGCUGAAAAUAAAAAUAAAUGUCCCCUUUACUAUUCAAGGCUAAAGCAAAACACUAAGCCUGAUAUGGAUCCUUUGAGAUCUGCUCAUCUCUGAUUGUACAGGGGUGUGUGUCUAUCUGUGUGAGAG